AUGGCUCAGAUUGAACGCUGGCGGCAGGCCUAACACAUGCAAGUCGAGCGGUAGCACAGAGAGCUUGCUCUCGGGUGACGAGCGGCGGACGGGUGAGUAAUGUCUGGGAAACUGCCUGAUGGAGGGGGAUAACUACUGGAAACGGUAGCUAAUACCGCAUAACGUCGCAAGACCAAAGAGGGGGACCUUCGGGCCUCUUGCCAUCAGAUGUGCCCAGAUGGGAUUAGCUAGUAGGUGGGGUAAUGGCUCACCUAGGCGACGAUCCCUAGCUGGUCUGAGAGGAUGACCAGCCACACUGGAACUGAGACACGGUCCAGACUCCUACGGGAGGCAGCAGUGGGGAAUAUUGCACAAUGGGCGCAAGCCUGAUGCAGCCAUGCCGCGUGUAUGAAGAAGGCCUUCGGGUUGUAAAGUACUUUCAGCGAGGAGGAAGGCGUUAAGGUUAAUAACCUUGGCGAUUGACGUUACUCGCAGAAGAAGCACCGGCUAACUCCGUGCCAGCAGCCGCGGUAAUACGGAGGGUGCAAGCGUUAAUCGGAAUUACUGGGCGUAAAGCGCACGCAGGCGGUCUGUUAAGUCAGAUGUGAAAUCCCCGGGCUCAACCUGGGAACUGCAUUUGAAACUGGCAGGCUUGAGUCUUGUAGAGGGGGGUAGAAUUCCAGGUGUAGCGGUGAAAUGCGUAGAGAUCUGGAGGAAUACCGGUGGCGAAGGCGGCCCCCUGGACAAAGACUGACGCUCAGGUGCGAAAGCGUGGGGAGCAAACAGGAUUAGAUACCCUGGUAGUCCACGCUGUAAACGAUGUCGACUUGGAGGUUGUUCCCUUGAGGAGUGGCUUCCGGAGCUAACGCGUUAAGUCGACCGCCUGGGGAGUACGGCCGCAAGGUUAAAACUCAAAUGAAUUGACGGGGGCCCGCACAAGCGGUGGAGCAUGUGGUUUAAUUCGAUGCAACGCGAAGAACCUUACCUACUCUUGACAUCCAGAGAACUUAGCAGAGAUGCUUUGGUGCCUUCGGGAACUCUGAGACAGGUGCUGCAUGGCUGUCGUCAGCUCGUGUUGUGAAAUGUUGGGUUAAGUCCCGCAACGAGCGCAACCCUUAUCCUUUGUUGCCAGCGAUUCGGUCGGGAACUCAAAGGAGACUGCCAGUGAUAAACUGGAGGAAGGUGGGGAUGACAUCAAGUCAUCAUGGCCCUUACGAGUAGGGCUACACACGUGCUACAAUGGCAUAUACAAAGAGAAGCGACCUCGCGAGAGCAAGCGGACCUCAUAAAGUACGUCGUAGUCCGGAUUGGAGUCUGCAACUCGACUCCAUGAAGUCGGAAUCGCUAGUAAUCGUAGAUCAGAAUGCUACGGUGAAUACGUUCCCGGGCCUUGUACACACCGCCCGUCACACCAUGGGAGUGGGUUGCAAAAGAAGUAGGUAGCUUAACCUUCGGGAGGGCGCUUACCACUUUGUGAUUCAUGACUGGGGUGAAGUCGUAACAAGGUAACCGUAGGGGAACCUGCGGU
rnacentral:rRNA from 1 species